CCCACCGCCGUUGCCAUGGCGGCGGCGCGGUCUGCUCGGAGCGGGCCGGGACGCCGCGCCCUGUGACCCCUCCCGGAGGCAGAGGAUGGCUGAGGUUGGAAAGCGCCUCCGGAGGUCAUGGAAUCCGCCCUCCUGCUCCCCUAGAGCGCGCUGUCCGGCACUGUGUCCAGGGAAGGAGAUUCCGUGGCCCUCUGCCGUCCGCCCCACACUGAGGCCUGAAAGAUUCCCCUUCCCAAGUGGCGCUGCGCGCACACUUCUGCUUUGCGUCCUUCCAGUCAAAGCUGUGUGACCCCCUGGGCUGCCUGUGACGGCCCGCUGUUCGGCGUCCCCCAGCCUUCCACCGAUGGCCAAAAGGCUCGAGAAAGCAGGAGCGUGCCCUGCCUGGGAGGAAGCACCAGGUGUGCCACGUGUGGGACGGGGCCUGAGGGGACGGCGUGGAGCUGUGCCAGGGGAGGGCCGGGGGGUCAGGGAAAGGCUGUGAUUUUUUUGUGCUUUGAAACGUGAGAAAUAGCGGAAUACGUGCCAUAAUAUUUAACUCUUUAACAAAUUUUAAUCACAUUCAGAUAUUGAGAAUGAAAAGAAAGUGAAGCAUUCAGCUUUCCGAAGCAUUCAGCUCUGUGAAUAUACAUGAAUUAACCAGCACAGUGCAGGUAUAAUGGAAGGGCUUCCUGGUCAUUCUGGAGCAUCAGCAGCUGUACCUGGAUGUGAAUUGCACUGUGAUACAGAUAAGUUUUGCAUUAAUACUAUCCAUUUUUCAAUGUGUAAUGUUUUCAUAUUCAUACAAGUGAAGGGUUUAUGUUUUUGCUUGGUAUGUGUAACAGACACAUAUAACAGUUGCCUUAAAAACCUGUUGUUUGUCAAGAAAAAUUAGUUGAUCCGUUGAUCUGAAGUCACUCAUCUUGUUGAACCCAUUGCAAAGGGGCUCAGACUGAGGAAGCAGCUUCUGCCUCUUGCUGUACUGUUAGACUUGCUAGGUAAUUCUGGACACAUUGCUUAACCUUCCCAAAUCUGAGUUUAAUGAGCUGGAUAUGCACUUGAGCUCUGUGAAUGAGAAGUGUUUCAGUUUGAGUUCUAAUCCUCCGUUCAUCAGUUGACAGAAUGCUUCCACUGUGUUUCCUUAUGUAGCGAGGUGUUCUCUGCUCUGAGAUAAACUUGCCUUUAUUUAGGAGACCUGAAGGAAAAACGAACAAACAAACAAAUGAUGCAUUUGCUAAUUUUUCUGAGAUUAAACAUUCAGUAGAACUCAACAAAUAUGUUUACUAGUUUAAUUGGAUUACAUUAAUAUACAUCCCCACAGCUUUUAUUACAUAAGCCCUUUUCUACCAGGGAUUUAGUCUAUUAGUUAAGGAAACCUGAGGGAUUAAUCUGAUAGCUGCAGUCAGAAAUUACAGUGUAAUUAAAGUCACCCAGGAAACAGUGAUACUGAAGUCUGCCAAUCCCUGCAAAACAAACUUGUCAAUUUUCUGCAUCUAGGAUAGCAUAUAAGGUGACACAUUAAAGGGGCACAAGUUCUGCACCAGAAAUAGGCCUGUUAAGGAGGAACUUGUGUACUGCACAGUGUAGCCAUCGCUGUUCUUGCUACCAACUACUGCUGUCUGUUUUUGAAUAGACUUUAAAGGUUUUGGUGUUUUAUUAAAGGUCAUGUACAGUGUGGGAGAGGAAGUAUAACACGGCUUGCACGGAAGUCUAUUUUAAAGCUUACUUUACUAAUUUAGUUGGACCGAGAUGUUACUUCAUGUCCAAAAGAAGAUAGAAAAUGCAAUGGCUGUAAAGAAGAAAGUUGCAGAGCACUGGAGCAGCCUUGUUAGUAGCAGGGAGAGACGUUUUGUCAUGGUCUGUACUUGUCAGUGUCAUUUGCUGCAAGCAGGGUAAUGGAGAGCAUGCAUCGGUGCAUGAGUGGAGGAGGAGAUCUGUUGUCUUCAUGAAUGGCAUCAAGGAACAGCACAGCAUUCCAGAAAUUCUGCAGAGUGUCAGUACUUGUGAUGUGUUUGAGCCAUUCUAAUAGCAUAAUAUACGCAGGAGAGAUUUAAUUUCACUAUAUCCAAAAUACACAGCAUUUGGUAUUUCUUUUGUUCUAUGAGACAUAAGUCUAAUGAUGCAUAUUCUAGUUAGUGCAACUUGCUAUCAAGGUUGUAAAGAAAUAAGCAACAAGAAGAAAAUAACGUAUGUAUUUUUUCUGUUGUCAGAGUAGACUUGUAUAUAUACUUCACAGCUUUGUCUUCUUGCUCUAAGUUGUAAAGUAACCUUCACAUAACAUUGUGUAAAUGGAAAAGUUCUCUGCCAGAAAGCUAAAGCCCAAUAUCUGUUGCUUGCAAAGCCACAGAGGGAACUACCCAUUGUUUCCUAGGAGGAGAUGGUGCAGCGACUUGCUGUGGCUUUAGCAAGAGGGCAAGGCUUUGUGAUAGAAGAUAAGCAAAGUAUGAUGACUUAAGUGGAGUGCUGAAGCUUUUACUGCAUCUGUCUUGUACAGUGUUGAAUAGAUUUUUAGGAACUUGCCAGUCAGGAGACCUGCCUUCGUGCUAAUGUGCAGACAUAGAGAAACUGCAUGAACAGAGGCAGGAAGCACUCAGAACAGAAAGGGAAAAUGAGCUACUGAUGCACACAGAGCUUUGCUUGGUAUAGCAGGCAAAGGAGGAUCCAGCAGGAACAGAAGAUAUCUCUUCUGUGCCUGAUCAGCCUGAGAAAAGUCCUUAACAAAACAAAGUGGCAGCCUGGAGAGUAUAAAACACAGGAAAUGAUGCAUUUCCAGUCCCACUUUUGCUUCUUUCUCAGCAGUCGCAGGGUGGGUGAGUAGGAGUUGCCUGUGCCAGCUCUGUGCAGCCUGGCAAAACUGGGGCCAGACCCGACGUUGUUGAGGCUGCUUCCACUUUUGUUUGUGAGGUGGAGGGAAGGACACCCUCUGUAAGUGUUGGUAUUAAUGCUUUUCUCUUAGUUAAUCUGUUUUGUUUGCUGCUGAGGCAUUUUACCUUCACCUCUAAAUUAUUUCAUUCUUCAUCAAAAUCCAAAGAAAACAGAGAUUCAAAGAAAGCACCCCUUAGAAUAGACUGAACGCUGAGUAUUAUUUGUAAGAUGUAUGAAACAGGAAACGGGAAGUUAGAAACAUUCAGGGAGUCGGUAUGCAUCCAAGUAGUCAAUGGUUCAGGGGGCAGAUAAACCAACACACCCCCACCCAGCACUGCAUGGCUACACCACCAGCAUUCAGGAAUUCUGACCUUUGCUAAAUCUUUAAUAUCUUUGGUUAUCAAACCCAAACUCGCUCACAUGCCAGAAGCAGUGUGGUACUGGGUAACCAUGUAGGUAAUUUUCAUGCUCAGAGAAGACAGCUCAUUUGUCAAACUGCGUCAGGUGAGAGUGCUCAGCAGGCCUGAAUUUCUGCAGAGAAAAAGGACCGGAUUCUCCUCCCUGUUGGCACCACCCAGUCUGAGUCAUACAGGCUGGAAGCAGUAGUACAGCUGCCAAACUUCCUCACCUAGAUCACGCUAUCUGCUAUAGGCUGCACUGGGAUUAUUGAGUGAGGUGUUUGGGUGUAGAAUUAAAAUACGUUGAGCACAGGAUUGUACUGUUGGGGAUUUUUCCACAAUGUUUCUUCUCCAGGAAAUGUUUUUCCUCUCUAGCAUUGCAGGGUAACAGUGUAAACGUUUGUUUUUGUUGGUUCAUUGCCAGACAAACGUAAGAACAUGUUGUAAAAGUCACAUUUUGCUGGAUUUCGUUUUAGAAUAGUAGAACUGUAGAAUGGCUUAAGUCAGAGGGAACCUUAAAGAUCAUCUAGCUUCAACUCCUCUGCCAUGGGCUGGCUGCCCCCACCAGCUCAGGGUGCCCAGGGCCCAUCCAACCCGGCCUUGGGCACCUCCAGGAAUGGGGCACCCACAGCUCUGGGCAGCAGUGCCAGGGCCUCACCAUCCCCUAAGCAAAGAAUUUCUUUGUAACAUCUAACCUAAAUCUCCCCUCUUUUAGUUUAAAUUCCGUGUAGAAUUUCAAGUGUGUUUGGCACCUGCCAUUCCAAAUACAGACAAAGUUAUAUGAUAGAACUCAGACUUUGUAAAUCGUAAUGGAUUUUGAUCACAGGAUAUGAUGCUACUUGGUCACAACAGCCCAGAUCCCUGUAGGACACAUACUUCCAUUGAUUUCACUGGAAGUUAGGGGCCACAGAGAACUCUGUGGUUCUUUUCCUACCAGCUGAAGUCAAUGAAACCACCUUUUGAAAAUGGGGUUCCAGAUAUUACAGUCUAGCAGACAAAGCUGGCUUAUCCCACAUUAAAUGUCACCUCUGAGAACGGAAUUUAAGUGAUGAUGGCGUAGUGGAAGUCUAAGACAGAGCCAAGGCCAGAGUGUAAAUUAUCUGAUGCCCAGCCCAAUGCAUGAACCACAGUGCUGAUGUUUGAUUACUGUGAGGUUGGAUACUGACUCUAUAAACAACAACUGCAGUUUUCAAAACUUACCCGCAGCAAAUGCAGAACCCUGCCUUGACAUGGUUUUCUGAUGGUAGAACUCUGCUUGCUGAAGUCUAUUUACACCUCAAAUUUUCCAAAAACAAGACUUCAAUUCCUCAUUGCUGUGAAGCAAGCAUUACUUUUAACAAAUUACUUAAUUGCUUUUCUAGCCAUUUCUUUUCCUGCAUUUCUUAAUUGAGUUUGUAUAGAAUAUUUCUACAUGAAUGAGUGCCUGAGGCAAGAUGAGGUCUGAGCAGAAACCUGUAUCUUGGUUUCCUAGUCAGUGGGAUGCAGGAGAGCCUACUGUGCUUCUGUUUAGGGAUAAGAACUUGGUUAAAGGCAUGCAACCCAACUCAUGUUUCCUUGUGCUUGCUUACAAGGAGAAUAUCAAGGUCUCAGACUGGAUAAUGAUGCAGAAAUGCACACUGACAGCGGUCCCAAUAGCCGGGCUCAUGGAAAGAAAGUCUCAGAUGUGAAUGAAGGAUGUGAGGCUGCAGCCAAAUUGAUUAGAAGCAAAGAACUCUCAGACAUCUGAAGUGUGCAAAGCAUAAAGCUGUCCUCUAAUUUCCCAGUUUUGGCAGUUUUGUUGCCACUUGAAGGUAAAGCUGGUAUUAAUCACUGGGGGGAAAAUGCAACCCUGCUCUCUUUGAUCUUUCCUCCUUUAAUCAACAGUUUCUAAGUGCAAUAAGACAUUUCAGAUGUUGCCAAUGUAUUUUUAUCUGGCAAUUGUUCAAUGCGUAUCCUAAAAUGGAGAGGUGCAUCUGCUGAAACACAGCAUGGUGCUUCUGGAGGAGGAAACCAUCUCCUUUCUGGCUUUGCACUGUUCAUUGGUCUGACAGCCUUGGAUAUCCAUGGAAAUGUAACUGUUCCUAAGAUGAAUCCUACACGUUGCACAGUUGCUCUGCUUCCUGUAACUCAUCUAAAUAUUGGUGACUAAUUAUUCUUGAGGAAACAUCCUUUCUCUGUGGAGUUAGCUUUGCAAGCAAAAGGACAUUAGAAGCAGCACCCUGACCAGGUCACUAGCCAGCCAGGAGAGAGCAGGGAUUGCAGGCAGGAGGUGGCAGCCUCGAGUAGCAGCACACUGCUUUCUCUGCUCAGCUAUGCUCAGACCUGAAUGCUAACAGGAGCAGGGUACAAACAGCUUGGGGUCUGGGUCCUUGCUUUAAGCACUGCAGCUUGAAGAUGGAAACCUAACUUUGUCCCUCGUGCCCACUAAUUAAAAACGUAGCUAAGCUGCUCUAUAGGUGCAGUGUUGGAGUUGUAUGGGUUUGCUCAGAAUUUUUAAUAUUUUGUUCAAUAUCUUCAGAGGGAAAGAAUGUAGCACUCUUUAUUUGAUCUGUCCCGUUCUCAUCUAGGUUUAUUUCUUCUUGCAAGGAAAAUUAUGUUGCAGACAAGAAUAAGUCCCCUCGAAAUACUGUAUUGUUUUGUUUGUGUGUCUAAUUCUUGAGCCCCAUCCUGCAAAGCUGAUGGUCCUCCAUGGCCUGGCUAUAGUCCACAAGGGGAUUUAUAAGGGAAUUUUGCCUCCCUCAUGAGCUACAACGAAGUAACGGCAAAUGAACCUACUUAGAUUAAAGAUGUCACUGACUGAAAUGUUCUAAUCAACAGAACCUUGCAAUUAUCCUCUCUCAGCAGAGAGGGGAACUUGAUGACAUCAUUGUUUUUUCCCUGUGAAAACGCUUAGUUGGAAAAAGACAAAAAAAGAUUCAAUGAAUCACAUGCAACAUCCCACUUGGAAUCUUUGAAUAAUCCCAAAGAGUGCCAUUCACUGCAACAAUCAAAAUGUAAGCCAAGAGAGUUCUGCAGCAUUGCUUUUUGCCCACUGGCCUUCAUCUGCAGAAGAUACAUCGGUGAGGUAAUAGUGGUCUUUCUAAUGCAAAAGAGUGAGGGACGAUUUGUUGAGCCACAUUCCCUGAAGAAAGAAGGCUUAUGUGCACAGAUUCUGUCUGGCCCAACAGCCAGCACUAGAACAUGGAAUCCCAUUGGGCAAUUCACUUCAGUAUGAAAAAGAGAAGACUCCAGUUUUCUGUCAGGACUGUCAGCUGAAGGGCUGAGCCUAACAGCUGUUCUGUGUAAGAGUUUGAACUCAACUAGCCGUAUUACUGGAAGAGGAGAAUGUGCCAAAAGGUGUUUUGCUCAAUGAAAAAGUGCAGUAAAUUUGAGCCGUAUCAGGUCUGUGCCGCUGGAGAAAUAUGCUUUCCUUUUUUAAAGUGUAUGGAAUCCUACAACUUCCUUUCUGUUUCUUGGUUUUCUUAACAUAACAGUGGCAGCAGCAUUGGCUUCUGUAGAAUGUCAAUAGAAGUUAUGCUUCAGAUCCAGAUGUGCAGAGGAAGAAGACUUUCCUUCCACAGCUCUGUGGGUCCUUCUAGCUGUUACAUACCGACCUGUCACAGAGGGGGUUCUGUGAGUCCUCCCUAAUUCAUAUUAAGCACAAUUGGGCAGAUUUUAUUAAGCAGUUUAAAAUCCUGUUCUGACAUACGGCAUCUGGUUUUGCAUCACUUGAAUUAGCAAUGCUCCCACAAGCUCUUCUCUUAGCACAUCUGAAGAGUGUUAACCCUAUCCACUGGCACUGCUAGAUGGAAAAGAAAUCAUCUGUAUGUGACCUGAAGCCCUGUUGCCAAUGCACAGGCAUAUAGCAUUGUGGACGUGGCUACAGCCUGUACAGAAGAGAAUAUAAUUCUAUUUGGAGGGCUUGACUAUUCAAGCUCUGUGAACAGGAAGAAAAGGGCUGACUCAUAUAACAAGCCAACGUCAAUGAGCAGAAUCACAUUUUAAAUGAGGUCACUUAAACAAGUGGUUUCUUAUACUGAGAAAAAUUACAGGUAGAUUGAAAUGGUGUGUUUAAAGUACUGCUUGGUGGUUGGGGGCACUAAGGAAUCUAUUCCAAGUGUGGAAAAAAGCCUUCACCACAUAUGCACUGGAGGUCUUAAGAAGAAGGGAUAGUUGGAGUGUAAGGGAUAAUCUUGAGCUGUGAAUGGCAUGAGCAAACAUUUAGGGAAGCCUAGCUCUGUAUGGUAGGAAAGUCUCAGGGAGAUGAGCCAGUACAUCUGUGAGCAAUGGAAUCAGCGAAGCCUGGUUUCCAAUGGGUAUGUGUCCCAUUCUGGGCUCUUUCACAUCUAAUCCGGUGCAAGAUGUGAUCCAAGCUUUUCCCGUGGCCUGGAUGGUCUUUGUGUCUGUCGUAGGACAUCGUCUAGUGAGUAGGGAUUUGGUACAUCUUUUCCCAUGGUUGGAAGUGCUGUUUGGGUCUCUUCUUCCCAGUUGGCUGCCCAUGUCUGCUAAACUUGCAACAAAUUUCUAUCUUGAAUUCUUUACUUUGCUUAGAAAUUUAUUUGAAAAGCACACAUUGGAUUCAAAAGUUAUUUAAAGGGGAAGUGAAAACAGGAGAAUAUGCACUCAUACACCAAAUGCAACGGCAUAGGCCUUUUGCCUUAAGAAAUUGAAACGUUAGAAGAAGGUAUUUCUGCCUACAGAUAUGGUGGUUUCCAGCACUGGUGGUGAUGUCACUUCAGAUGAGGGGGAGAUGGGGAGAGGAGAGGGUUUGGAAUAGAAGGGGUGAAUGGAAGCAUCACUAAAACCUGCUUUCGCUCUGUGACCUUUGAAGUUGUUCCGUGCAGAGCUGGCAUACAAUAUUUCAACACUGUACUCUUGUGGUAGGUUCAUUUGUCAAUUUUUAUUUAUUUAUUUAUUUAUUUAUUUAUUUAUUUCAACUUAGUUAUUUACUGGGUGAGAAAAUGUAUAGUUAAAACCCAGAUUUAGUCUAAAUGUAUGUACAGAUUAACUUUUUUUAAUUGACUGUUUGUUAGGCUGGCAUUACUGGUAUGAUUUGUUUUGUUUAACCUGUUUGUCAUUCCAAAGUAAUAUAUAUUUUCUUUUCUAAGAGGAAUUUGCACUGGUAUGUAUGGGAACACAAAAUCCAAUACAAGUCUAUGAAACAAUCUACCCAAACGUGUAUCUAAAUCCAUUUGAAUAGGCACAUUUUGUGACCUGGAGAGAUUUUCUGUAGUUCCUAUCAACAUUUUUAUCAAAUCUUCAUUCCAGUAGGUCGGAACUCCGUUGUUACGCUGAUGCUAUGGCUAGCUUGAGAAAUAACCUUCCUUUUAUUUGAGAACCCGUAGCUGAAACGUGUGGUAGAGCUAGUCUGCUCUUUUGUCUAAGGAAGAAAAGAAAUGCCCAAUGGAAAUAGAAAGGGGAAAACUAUUGGAAGAGCUGUUAAAAACAAACAGCUGUAUGUUUUCCCCCUCUACCUUUGAAAAAUUCAAUUAGUUCCAAGCAUGGAUUUAAUCUGACGAAGUUAAUGUCUAUUCAUUUCUUUGAUAUCAUUUCUUACAUCAUUCUGUGAAAUAGAUUUCCGCGUUCAGUUCAUUAUCCAAUCAUUACUUUUCUGAUUCAAAUAACCAGUCAGCCUGCAGGGUACAAGCCCUGCUUUCAACAGUUGAAGUUGAUCAUAUUGGCCAAUACUGAGGUAGACAGACUGGGAUUCCCCUCUUUAAGGAAUUCAGGACAUCGUGAAAGCCACAAAGCGACUCCUUCACAACACUGAUACAGAUGGCAUGACUGGUGUGUUCAGCUGACUCUUGUCUGAGAGUGUUUGCAGGGUUGUAAACCAGCAGUAUCCUCCCUGUUUGGUCUGUGUUUGCACUGGCUUAGCCAACAUCAGAAUCUGCUCCAGGGAUAACAAAGGUAGCAGAGGUGGGGUUCUUUGGGGCUUGUUAGGCCGCUUUCCUGUAUUGGAUGUAGUGUUUGUUAGCAGAUUAGAACUGAACCUUGGGUAUCAUAAAUGAGUUGGCCGUGAGCCCCUGUGGGCAAGAAGUCCAGUGGUAUCCUGGGGUGCAUGAAAAAGAGAGCAGUCAGGCUCUUCUUGGUGGUGUGUAGCAAUAGAACAAGGAGUAAUGGCCUAAAACUUGAACGUAGGAAGUUCUGCACAAACAUGUGGAAGAACUUCCUUGUGGUAAGGAUGACAGAGCACUGGAACAGGCUGCCCGGAGAGGCUGUGGAGUCUCUUUCUAUGGAGAUAUACAAGACCUAUCUGUUCGCCAACCUGUGUGACCUAUUGUAGGGGACCUGCCUCAGCAGGGGGUUGGACUCAAUGAUCUCCUGAGGUCUGUUCCAACCCCUGUGAUUCUCCUUUAUGAGGGCUCAUGUUUUUUAAUUUAAUAAAUAUGAAAUAUUGUUCCUUGUUCGAAAGCUCACCUGUCAGGUUACACUCUUGUAAUUCCACUGCUUUAUAAUUGCAGUAUUCUUUCAGUAAGGUUCUUCUAUAUAAAAACAAGCUUGGGAAGAAAAGAGAAUAUCAUUUGAAGCCUCCUUUAAAUAUCCUGAGGAUUAAAUGUCCCUUUUGUGUUUAUAGUAACACUUUCUAUAGCGUGUGAAUGAGUAUUUUGGGGUAUUUGUUCUCAGCGCAGUGAAUGAACAAAAUGGUCCUCUUGAUUCUGUGAACAGAAGAAGUCUUUUUUUGUGUGUAACCUUGGCAGCAGACGUAAGUAUGCUCAUGGAUGAAGGAAAGACAAAUGAUUAUGGAAGCUAGAGACUGGGAGAGGACUUAGGAGAUAUAUCACAACGUGUUUAUUCUGCCCUUAACAUUCUUCCCUCUAUGCUAAGUAUAUUAGAAGCGUUGUCUGGAUCGUGGAAAACAAGGUUUAUUCACAAAAGCCACACAGUGUGUGAUCCUGGUGCCCCAGAGCACAGACCACAUCCACAUCAGUCAGUGUUCUUCUUACCACGCUCAGUGUAAGUCCCAGCAUCUCAGAUCACCUUUUCCAGUAACGCUUUUGGCAUUCCUUGUGUCUCCCUGUAGAUCAAGCCAAAAGUAAGCUUUACACCACUACAGCAAGCCAAGCAAGGGACUGACAGCUUAGCAAUGCCUUGAACGUCGUCACAUGCAACUUGCAGUGGCAAAGUGGUACUUAACAACUCUAUUUUCAUAGUACCUUGCUGCGUCUCUGUGGGUCAUUCAUAUCUAAUAAAAUAUACACACUGUUGGAGAUGGGAUUCUGAGCUCAGCAGCCUUUCAGUGUGACCAACUACACUGUUCAUAUGUAGAUGUAACAGUUAUUUUAGGUGAGUCCGUUCUGCAAUGUAGACACUGGCUAGUCCAUUAUUGUGAAGGAAACGGAAUGGACAGAGCAUUUAAUUGAUUAAUUACCCUAUGUUCAAAAUGCAGUCAGAUCAGGGUGAGAAUGAAGCCAGUAGGGAAAAAUGAUGGCUCUUUCAAAAAGUAUAAAGAAUAUUGUCAGUUUAACAUAGUAAGUGCUGCUUAAGAGUAUUUCCCAGAUCACAGUAGAGAUUUUUACUCUUUGCUCUCAUGCCCUGAAAUAUAACCUCAUCGUUCUGACCAAUAUGUGGCAGUCAUUUAGCAAUACGUCUGCUUGGGGAUGUUACUGGGGCUGUUAACAAAGUUAGCAAAAAGCUUGUCAUUUAACUUCUUGAAGCCAGGCUAAAGAUUUAGUGCCAAUGCAGGGGACAUCUGCUUUUUUUCUGGUCAAAAUGAAUAGACUGAAUUACAGAGACAAUAAAGAUGGAGUCUCAUGAUGCUAUUGUACACUGCUUUGCUUUUCAUUUUGAAGAGAACUCACAAGUAAUGGACAAAAUCAAAUGAAUCACCCCCUAUAUUUCAGCCAUCUUGUCUCAGCAAAUGGGCAGCAGUCAACAAGGAGAAGCAGGAACUUCAGAAAAUGAUUUGUUCUAUUUAUUUUAGAUACCCAUUUCAGGAUAGAGGAACUCAUCCCUCAGAAGGAGGAAGGCAUACAUACUGUCUCGUAUGUGCAGCUGUCUUGCUUAGCUUCUAAAUGAAUUCUACUCUAACUAGCCUACCUAACCUGUUUUUGCUACUGGAAUCAGAUGGAAAUACAGUCAGUAUUUGCAAAUGCAAAGCUCCACAGAAAUAGAAUGUAUCAUUCUAUAUUUCACCCUGCUUCACAGAGAGCCAGGGAAGGCUUUUUUUCAUCUACCCACUGAGAACAAAGUGCUGAUUUGGCUCUAUGGUUCUUGGAAACUGUCUUUGCUCUGCUAUUUCCUGUUACAUUCUCAAGCUGCGUAUUUUAGAUGUGAAUGAGGACCAACCCCCCAUCUCUUUUUGCUUGUAGCAGUAUGACAUGAUGCCUUGGACAGAUGUAGAUGGGUGUUUCUUGCCAGUAAAAAAAAAAAAAAAAAAGAAGUGGAAAAUGAAAGCACGGCAGAAAGUUUAGUUCUGGGGGUUCACUCCUCACUGUGUAUGGUAAACCAUGGCAACACCUUCAGUAGUGCUGACCUUGCCUGACAUGCUCUGCAGAGGCUGCACACCAAUUCCCAUCCCCUGGGAAGACCUUUGACGCUUUGCAGGAUUGUUAUUUGUUUCAUCCUCAGACACACGUUACACUGGCAGACCAAGGCAGCGAGUGCUUGCUUUGGUAGCAUUGGCAGGGGCUCUGAGCAUCUCCUUUCACAGCUCUGUGCUGCAGCCUGACAUCGUGAAGCUGCCUGCAGGCCAGGCAGACAUUUCCAAACAGCAUUCCUGGCAGCACAAACAGACAAUUAAAUUUAAAGACGAGGCAUUGCCACCAUUCAUUUGAAUGACUGUGGUGCUUCAGCAUAUUGCUAGUGUUUGUUGACAUAUGUAAUUUAUAGAAUUUGGUUUGUGUGUGGUGGGAAGAGGAAAUAUAUCAGUGCGGUGAUCUGACACCUCGUCUACGUUGGUGGCCUUAUUUCAUACCUUUUUGCAUGCCAAAUGGAAUGAAGUGCUCUCAGAAUCUGUAGAUGACCUGGCAGGAGCUGAAUGAGUGUCCUUAAAACCAUUUGUACUGUUGUACCUUUGUGUUUUCUGUUUUGUGACCUUGGCAGACCAGUGAUUGGGAAAGCUGCUCACACACCAUCUGCACCUGCUACUUUUGCCGUGCAGCAAGUGGUCAUUUCCUUUCCAAACAUGACUGGCUUCUGAUAGCAGUGGGAAAUUGGCAGCUCUUGUAUGAAAGCAGUAGAUUCCAGUUUCUUCUUUCGGCUUUUCACUGAGAUAGAACAGGAGUUGUUAUGGUUAUGUCCCCAGUGCUCUGUGUCACAGCUUUCUUUUCUACAUAACUGCCUUUUCAAUCAUUAAGUACAAUCAGUAUAUGGAAUCACAUCUUGUAUUGUAUAAUACCAUAUUACCCUGAGAUCUUUUUUUUUUUCCAGUAUCAUCUUAAUUCUAAACAGAGAUGCACAACCGACAGUGAAAAUGUUUCCCUUUUGUCUCGUGGCCUUUCUUUCUCAUUUCCAUGAGAAGAAGAGAGUGCAGAAUAAAGUUGCUCUCUUGACUUCCGUGGUCUGGCUAAAGAAACAACAUAGCAGGAGUGAGCUGUGCUUUUCUCCUUAUUUCUCUGGCACAUUGAAAAGAUGAGGUGUAGGAGUGUUCAUUGCUCUUCUAAUUCUCUCCUCCAGAGGGGAUGGAAGCUGUUGCAAUUCUUCCUUAUGAGGGUCCUUAAAAUCAGCAGUCAGAAUUUGUUCCUGGGAGACCUAUUUUGCAAGCUUGUCUGCUGAAACUUCUGUAGAGAAGAAAGCAGACGGAGCCUUUUCAGAUUGCAGCUUCCCAGUUGCUGUGUUGAAAGCAUGAAGCAAAAGUGAAACCGAGGUAUUACAGUUCUUAGUUCUCAUAAACGGCUUUUCCUUGCUUUGCUCUGCAGCAAAUUCCAGCUGAGCUAACAUUUCUGUUAGCAUGACAAUGCCCAUACGUGCACUGCUGUAAUGAGAGGGAGCAUCUGUGUCUGAGCUGGUUGUGAUUGUGUUGAAAAGAGACAGAUUGUCAUCGUGUGUCAGUCCUUACUCUUCCACUGAACAUGAAACUUCCUUGGUCGUGCUGUUGGUUCAGUCUCCAGUCUCCAUUUUCAUAUCA
rnacentral:lncRNA from 1 species